AGCCUCUUUACAGCAGCCACCUCCUACC
rnacentral:piRNA from 1 species